ACUCGCUUGCUUGCGCUGGGCUUCAGGGCGCCCGGGUUUUUCUGUGGACCUAAAUUUUCAUUUCUCUGGGAUAAAUGUCCAGGAGUGUGAUUGCUGGGUCAUAUGAUCUACAGUCCCUCUUGGACAGAUUUUCCUGUGUGUAUAUGAUAUGAGACGAAGUCACUCACUGUCACCCAGGCUGGAGUGCAGUGGCAAGAUCCCGGCUCGCUGCAACCUCCACCUUCUGGAUUCAAGCAAUUCUCCUGCCUCAGCCUCCUGAGUAGCUGGGAUUACAGGUGUCACAUGCCAUUCUUCUGAUUUUCAUGAAUAUCCUCUAAAAGGCAGCUAAGCACUCGCUGUCUUCUUCCUUUUGCCUCAUCAAGCACGGGGGACGCUGGAAGGAAGAGGCUCCAGGGACCUACCUGACUUCCUAUUCAUGCUGAUCCCACUGAGACCCUUAUCAACCCUGACCUGUUCCCCAUGUGCCUCUUGGAUCUGCCUUAUGUUCCAGAUCCAGCAGAUAAGCCAGUACUUAAUGCCAAUAAUUGCUCCAACUGGGGUGGAAAAUGGAUAUUUAUACUUCAAAUUUGUGGAUAUCAGUUUUCCAGAAGGGGAAAACAGGAUUGGCUCCUACUUCAGAAAAUGAUCUAGGGGUGAAGAGGUCCUUACUGGCCUUUUCCCCACUGAGUCCCAGCUGGUCUCCUGACAGGGGAUUUUGGGGACCGAUUCACCAAUGUGUGACAGUAUCCAUGCAUAAAGAUGUGAACUGUCUUCUCCCCAAACUUUUAAUCUAUGUAAAUGCAACGCUACAUUCCAAUGUAUUUCUAAGACAGUUUUGCUCUAUGCCAAUCAGCAGAUGAGCCGGGGCUCAUUUUUUGUGGGGUCUGGCUCUUACCUGUUUCCUCUGAAAUCCUAUAAGAUUUUAUUUUUUCUUCUCUUGGACAUAUCACGUAUUUCCUUGAUUUCUACUUAUCGCAGUAACUGUCUUUUCAUUCACAUUAAGGUAACUUUAUAUUGUGGAGUCAGACAGUUCUCUGUCUGCUACUUACCAACUGUCAGAUCUUGUUUGAGCAAACGAAUUAUAUUCUUUGAGCCUCAGUUUCUUUAUCUAUCAAACGGGGAUAAUUAUUUCCAAGCUCAAAAUGCUGUUGUAAGUAUGAAUUAGAAUAAUGAAUAUAAAAUAUGGUACAUGCUAGUCAUUCAUAAGUUUUUCCUUAAAAGUAGACUGUUUCGUAUUUAUAUUUAUAUCUCCCACAGUGCCUCAAUCAUAGUAGAUGCUCAAUAAAUGUGACUCAAUAAGCA
ensembl:lncRNA LNC-LBCS lncRNA bladder and prostate cancer suppressor, hnRNPK interacting